AGGAAUAUGAAUCCUCAUUCCCAAGCUUCAGCUGGGCAAUCAUAUGGAAAUUAUAAGAAGCAAAAUGUGGGUCCUAAAUCCCAGACUACUUCGGUAACCAGUGUAGGGAACUCGAGAUUUGUUAAACCUGAGUGCCAGCGGUGUGGUAGAAAUCAUUUUGGUCCGUGUAGAGCAAAUGAAUGUUUUCGAUGUGGUUCUUCGGAUCAUUUUAUUAG
rnacentral:lncRNA from 1 species